rnacentral:rRNA from 1 species
UACGAAGGGGGGCGAGCGUUGUUCGGAUUUACUGGGCGUAAAGGGCUCGUAGGCGGCCAACUAAGUCAGACGUGAAAUCCCUCGGCUUAACCGGGGAACUGCGUCUGAUACUGGAUGGCUUGAGUUCGGGAGAGGGAUGUGGAAUUCCAGGUGUAGCGGUGAAAUGCGUAGAUAUCUGGAGGAACACCGGUGGCGAAGGCGGCAUCCUGGACCGACACUGACGCUGAUGAGCGAAAGCCAGGGGAGCAAACGGG